GACAUGUAAGUGGUAGUGAUCUGAAAAGUGAACGACCCUUCCGGGGAGCUUACACAGGUGCUGCAUGGCUGUCGUCAGCUCGUGUCGUGAGAUGUUCGGUUAAGUCCGCUAACGAGCGCAACCCCCACUGUGUGUUACAUGUGUCACACGGGACUGCCGGUUUUAAGCCGGAGGAAGGCGAGGAUGACGUCAAGUCAGCAUGGCCUUUAUAUCUUGGGCUACACACACGCUACAAUGGUCUGUACAAUAGGUUGCCAAGCCGCGAGGCGGAGCCAAUCCUUAAAGCAGGCCUCAGUUCAGAUUGCAGGCUGCAACCCGCCUGCAUGAAGAUGGAGUUGCUAGUAACCGCAGGUCAGCUAUACUGCGGUGAAUACGUUCCCGGGUCUU
rnacentral:rRNA from 1 species